UUGCAUACUCUUAAGAACUCGCUCAAAAUGAACCUCCCAAAGUUUAAACAAAUGCACCCAAACCAAAAACUUGAAGCCUAAUCGAGUGGCUUUCACGUGCAAUAUAGCCUUUGUUUUCAUUUUCAACAUUAUUCAUGGCGGGACAUGAUAGUGUGAAAGUGCUUGUACUAAAGAAAGGGAUGCUCUGCUGCAAUUCAGACAAAGCCUUUUAGACGAGUCAAACCUCAUUUCUUCUUGGAACGGUGAAGAUUGUUGCCAAUGGACCGGAGUGACAUGUGACCGAGCAAAUGGACAUGUCGUCAUGCUCCAAA